AGAAUCAACGCUGGCGGCGUGCCUAACACAUGCAAGUCGCACGAGAAAGGGGAGCAAUCCCUGAGUAAAGUGGCGCACGGGUGAGUAACACGUGAAUGAUCUACCUCCGAGUGGGGAAUAACUGAGAGAAAUCUUAGCUAAUACCGCAUAACACUUACGAGUCAAAGCAGCAAUGCGCUUGGAGAGGAGUUCGCGGCCGAUUAGUUAGUUGGCGGGGUAAUGGCCCACCAAGACGAUGAUCGGUAUCCGGCCUGAGAGGGCGCACGGACACACUGGAACUGAAACACGGUCCAGACUCCUACGGGAGGCAGCAGUGGGGAAUUUUGCGCAAUGGGGGAAACCCUGACGCAGCAACGCCGCGUGGAGGAUGAAGCCCCUUGGGGUGUAAACUCCUUUCGAUCGGGAAGAUAAUGACGGUACCGAUAUAAGAAGCCCGGCUAACUUCGCGCCAGCAGCCGC
rnacentral:rRNA from 1 species